GAUGAACGCUGGCGGCGUGCCUAAUACAUGCAAGUCGAGCGAACAGACGAGGAGCUUGCUCCUCUGACGUUAGCGGCGGACGGGUGAGUAACACGUGGAUAACCUACCUAUAAGACUGGGAUAACUUCGGGAAACCGGAGCUAAUACCGAUAAUAUAUUGAACCGCAUGGUUCAACAGUGAAAGACGGUUUUGCUGUCACUUAUAGAUGGAUCCGCGCCGCAUUAGCUAGUUGGUAAGGUAACGGCUUACCAAGGCAACGAUGCGUAGCCGACCUGAGAGGGUGAUCGGCCACACUGGAACUGAGACACGGUCCAGACUCCUACGGGAGGCAGCAGUAGGGAAUCUUCCGCAAUGGGCGAAAGCUUGACGGAGCAACGCCGCGUGAGUGAUGAAGGUCUUCGGAUCGUAAAACUCUGUUAUUAGGGAAGAACAAAUGUGUAAGUAACUAUGCACGUCUUGACGGUACCUAAUCAGAAAGCCACGGCUAACUACGUG
rnacentral:rRNA from 1 species